rnacentral:tRNA from 1 species
GCCUUCUUAGCUCAGUCGGUAGAGCAUCAGAGCUUUAGUGUCAGGGUUCUGGGUUCGAUUCCCACAAAAGGCG